rfam:Oryza brachyantha chromosome 7, whole genome shotgun sequence.
UCCAUACCCGCUUCGUCCGUUUACAAGACUGACAGGUAGGCCUAUAUACGUGUGUGUGUAUAUAUAUAUAUAUAUAUAUAUACACACACACGUAUAUAGGCCUACCUGUCAGUCUUGUAAACGGACGAAGCGGGUAUGGA